rnacentral:tRNA from 1 species
GGUGGCUCAGUGAUAGAGCACUUGCCUUGCAUGCAUGAGGCCCUGGGUUUGAUUACUCAGCACCA